GACUCUCGGCAACGGAUAUCUCAGCUCUCGCAUCGAUGAAGAACGUAGCGAAAUGCGAUACCUGGUGUGAAUUGCAGAAUCCCGCGAACCAUCGAGUCUGCGAACGCAAGUUGCGCCCGAGGCCACUCGGACGAGGGCACGCCUGCCUAGGCGUCA
rnacentral:rRNA from 1 species